AUGUCAUGGCACACUGGAGCGUGCAAUAGCCGCAAUCCAACCAUCUUUGCUCUUGCCGAGCUGAGGGAUAGACUCCAGCGGAAGGUGUUUGUAUUUCCUGACACAACCACCGGAAGCUACAUUGUGGUGCUCAUCCACAAUCCACAAGCUCAGCUCUCAUUUGCAAAGGCAGGGGAUGAUAAGUGGACCUGGCUACCACCUCAUUAUCUUCACGACGACUGCAUUUACAAGGACGGCAUAUUGUAUGCAGUGAAUGUAAAAGGGGAACUCCACGCAUUCGAUCUUAGUGGCCCUGUGGUCACUAUGAAGACGAUUAUAAUGAUACCUGAGCAUUAUGAUUGUUGUAGCAGGUACGUCGUUCAAGCUCCAUGGGGCAGGCUGCUACUUGUUUUUAGAAUAGUUCAUGACCAUGAUUUAGAACCUCAGCCUGGUGCAUCUGAGUACUGGAAGACUACAAAAAUUAAAAUAUGCGAAAUUGAUUCUCUGUGGAAUAAAACUGAGGCAAUCAAUUGCUUGCGUGACCACGUGUUAUUUCUUGGUCAUAAUCUAUCGCUAUGCCUCAGUGCUGAUGAAUAUCCUGCUCUCAAGGCAAAUCGUUCCUAUUUUACCGACGAUAAUUUUCUAUGGACAGUGGGACAUAAGAACAAUCAUCGUGAUAUGGGAAUUAUUAGCUUGGAUGAUAACAGCAAGGAGGAACUUUUGUCUCCUCAGCUUUGGUCCAACUGUCCAGCUCCAAUGUGGAUUAUUCCUGAUCUUAGAAAGAUCAACGCGAUGGGCGCAAUGAGCCAACAACUGUGA
rnacentral:rRNA from 1 species